rnacentral:lncRNA from 1 species
GUUUUUAUACUGAAAUCGAUAAAAAAAUAAAAAAAUAAUAAAAAUAUGAAACAAACGUUAUUAAAAAAAAGUGUUUGGAAUUUCCCCCUUGGGGUACCAUUUUGGGGUAUUUCCCUAUGAGCGUAGUCUAGGCGGUAAGCAUUGACAAUUUAAGGAAUAAGAAAGGGAAAAUGACUUUAAUUAAUAACAUUUGAUAAACAUGGUAUAUAAUUACCAAUUUGAAG